GACGAACGCUGGCGGCGUGCUUAACACAUGCAAGUCGAACGAAGUGGCGAACGGGUGAGUAACGUGUAAUCAACCUGCCCUUCAGAGGGGGACAACAGUUGGAAACGACUGCUAAUACCGCAUACUGAAGGAGGGGCUUGCGUCUGAUUAGCUGGUUGGAGGGGUAACGGCCCACCAAGGCGAGGAUCAGUAGCCGGUCUGAGAGGUUGGACGGCUGCAAUGGGACUGAGACACGGCCCAAAAUCCUACGGGAGGCAGCAGUGGGGAAUGUUCCGGAAUGGAAGAAAGUCUGACGGAGCAACGCCGCGUGAGUGAUGACGGCCUUCGGGUUGUAAAGCUCUGUUAAUCGGGACGCGGUACCGGAAUAGAAAGCCACGGCUAACUACGUGCCAGCAGCCGCGGUAAUUC
rnacentral:rRNA from 1 species